rnacentral:pre_miRNA from 1 species
CAUCUACUCCCUCCGUUCGGAAUUACUUGUCUCGGAAAUAGAUGUAUCUAGUUCUAGAUACAUCCAUUUCCGAGACAAGUAAUUCCAAACGAAGGGAGUAGAUG